GAGUGUGAGGGUAGACUGGCUGGCUAGGUGGUGACCUUAUUUUCCCACACAGAUCUUUGAAAGCUGCUUGGUCUGUCAAAGAAGAUGACAGUCACAAAUAAAGGAGAAAGGCAUUUUAGUCAAGAGUAUUCGGAGCUGUGUUUUCCUGCUAGAUCCUCAAAACAGACAUAAGUAGUGUGCUUAUAUGAGAUCUCUUUAGUAGCCAGAAGAGAGUUUGAGAUAAAAGGAAGGUGCCUUAGUCACCUUCCUGCUUU
rnacentral:snRNA from 1 species